rnacentral:rRNA from 1 species
UACGAAGGGUGCAAGCGUUACUCGGAAUUACUGGGCGUAAAGGGCGCGUAGGCGGCCAGCACAAGUCAGUUGUGAAAUCUCCGGGCUUAACUCGGAAAGGUCAACUGAUACUGUGCGGCUAGAGUGCGGAAGGGGCAACUGGAAUUCUCGGUGUAGCGGUGAAAUGCGUAGAUAUCGAGAGGAACACCUGCGGCGAAGGCGGGUUGCUGGGCCGACACUGACGCUGAUGCGCGAAAGCCAGGGGAGCGAACGGG